CGUAGGUGAAAACCUGCGGAAGGAUCAUUA
rnacentral:rRNA from 1 species